AAUCGUUGGAUCGCGGGGGAUACUGCUUGGCUAGGGGACGAGAGAGGCAGACGGUAUUUUCGGGGUAGGGGUGAAAUCCUAUAAUCCCGGGAAGACCACCAGUGGCGAAGGCUGUCUGCUAGAACGCGCCCGACGGUGAGGGAUGAAAGCUGGGGGAGCGAACCGGAUUAGAUACCCGGGUAGUCCCAGCUGUAAACGAUGCAGGCUAGGUGUUUGGACGGCCACGUGCCGUUCUAGUGCCGCAGGGAAGCUGUUAAGCCUGCCGCCUGGGGAGUACGAUCGCAAGAUUGAAACUUAAAGGAAUUGGCGGGGGAGCACCACAAGGGGUGAAGCUUGCGGUUUAAUUGGAGUCAACGCCGGAAAUCUCACCGGGAGCGACAGCAGUGUGAAGGCCAGAUUAAAGGUCUUGCCAGACGAGCUGAGAGGAGGUGCAUGGCCGUCGCCAGUUCGUGCCGUGAGGUGUCCUGUUAAGUCAGGCAACGAUCGAGACCCGCGUCCUCUGUUGCUACUAGCCUUGUGCUGGGCACACUGAGGAGACCGCCACUGAUAAAGUGGAGGAAGGAGCGGGCCACGGCAGGUCAGUAUGCCCCGAAUCUCCCGGGCCACACGCGAGCUGCAAUGGCAGGUACAAUGGGUUCCGACCUCGAAAGGGGGAGGCAAUCUCGAAAGCCUGCCGUAGUUGGGAUCGAAGGCUGAAACCCGCCUUCGUGAACAUGGAAUCCCUAGUAA
rnacentral:rRNA from 1 species